UUAAUGGCAACGAAGAGAAGAGUACCAUCGUGAUGUCUUGUACAGAGAGCCCCGGUUUGCUGAGAAGGGGUAAAGAAUAAGGAUGGGAACAUGGCCUCUGAGCUGCGCACCGAACCCCAAGUGGUUGUAGACUGCGCCGGAACCCGCACCCGUUAUCGUGCUAGAGUAUAAACGCGGCUGCGUCGUACUUGAAGAGGUUAAUGCCGCGAGGCAUUAAUAAAAUUGGGUGGUAACACGUGAGGAUAACUCUCGUCCCUUCG
rnacentral:ncRNA from 1 species